rnacentral:rRNA from 1 species
CCUACGGGAGGCUGCAGUGGGGAAUAUUGCACAAUGGGGGGAACUCUGAUGCAGCGACGCCGCGUGAGCGAUGAAGUAUUUCGGUAUGUAAAGCUCUAUCAGCAGGGAAGAAAAUGACGGUACCUGACUAAGAAGCCCCGGCUAACUACGUGCCAGCAGCCGCGGUAAUACGUAGGGAGCAAGCGUUAUCCGGAUUUACUGGGUGUAAAGGGAGAGUAGACGGCUGGGCAAGCCCGAUGUGAAAGGCUAGGGCUCAACUCUAGGAAUGCAUUAGAAACUGGCCUGCUAGAGUGCAGGAGAGGCAAGUGGAAUUCUUAGUGUAGCGGUGAAAUGCGUAGAUAUUAGGAGGAACACCAGUGGCGAAGGCGGCCUGCUGGACGAUGACUGACGUUGAGGCUCGAAAGCGUGGGGAGCAAACAGGAUUAGAUACCCCAGUAGUC